UACGUAGGGUCCGAGCGUUGUCCGGAAUUACUGGGCGUAAAGAGCUCGUAGGUGGUUUGUCGCGUUGUUCGUGAAAACUCACAGCUUAACUGUGGGCGUGCGGGCGAUACGGGCAGACUUGAGUACUGCAGGGGAGACUGGAAUUCCUGGUGUAGCGGUGGAAUGCGCAGAUAUCAGGAGGAACACCGGUGGCGAAGGCGGGUCUCUGGGCCGAGUAACUGACGCUGAGGAGCGAAAGCGUGGGGAGCGAACAGG
rnacentral:rRNA from 1 species